CGAAGGAUGCAAGCGUUAUCCGGAUUCAUUGGGUUUAAAGGGUGCGUAGGCGGACUUGUAAGUCAGUGGUGAAAUCUCUUUGCUUAACAAAGAAACUGCCAUUGAUACUGCAGGUCUAGAGUAUAGAUGACGUUGGCGGAAUAUGACAUGUAGUGGUGAAAUACUUAGAUAUGUCAUAGAACACCGAUUGCGAAGGCAGCUAACGAAACUAUAACUGACGCUGAGGCACGAAAAGUGCGGGGAUCAAACAGG
rnacentral:rRNA from 1 species